rnacentral:rRNA from 1 species
UACGUAGGGGGCGAGCGUUGUCCGGAUUUAUUGGGCGUAAAGAGCUCGUAGGCGGCUUGUCGCGUCGACUGUGAAAACCCGAGGCUCAACUUCGGGCUUGCAGUCGAUACGGGCAGGCUAGAGUUCGGUAGGGGAGACUGGAAUUCCUGGUGUAGCGGUGAAAUGCGCAGAUAUCGGGAGGAACACCAAUGGCGAAGGCAGCUCGCUGGGACGUGACUGACGCUGAGACGCGAAAGCGUGGGGAGCAAACAGG